UUCGCUCAUUUACAUUUGCAAUGCUAUACCAAAAGUCCCCCAUAGCCACCCACCCCCUCUCCCCUACCCACCCACUCCCCUUUUAUGGCCCUGGCGUUCCCCUGUACUGGGGCAUAUAAAGUUUGCGUGUCCAAUGGGCCUCUCUUUCCAGUGAUGGCCGGCUAGGCCAUCUUUUGAUGCAUAUGCAGCUAGAGUCAAGAGCUCCGGGGUACUGGUUAGUUCAUAAUGUUGUUCCACCUAUAGGGUUGCAGAUCCCUUUAGCUUCUUUGGUACUUUCUCUAGCUCCUUCAUUGGGGGCCAUGUGAUCCAUCCAAUAGCCGACUGUGAGCAUCCACUUCUAUGUUUGCUAGGCCCAGGCAUACUCUGACAAGAGACAGCUAUAUCAGGGUCCUUUCAGCAUAAUCUUGCUAGUGUAUGCAAUGGUGUCAGCAUUUGGAAGCUGAUUAUGGGAUGGAUCCCCGGAUAUGGUAGUGUCUACAUGGUCCAUCCUUUUAUCUCAGCUCCAAACUUUGUCUCUGUAACUCCUUCCAAGGGUGUUUUGUUCCCACUUCUAAGGAGGGGCAUAGUGUUCACACUUCAGUCUUCAUUGGUUUUGUUUUGUUUUAAAAACAAAGAAAGAACAUGAAGUUAAGUAAGGAAGGAGAAAAGGGAAAUCUGGGACAGGGAAAAGAAUAUGAUCAAAAUAUACUAUAUGAAAACAAAAUUCGAAUACAAAAUUUAAAAAUGGUCUAUUAAUUAUUAUAUUUUUAAUAUAUUCAAUUUUGCUACCUAGAAUUUUAUAAAAAUAAAUAUGACACAUGGAAUUAAAUUUACUGUUGCCAAUUUGUGCUUGGAAUCUAUUUUUCCAUGCAAAUAUUAGAAUAAAAGAAGUGACCACGACACAUUGGCAGAUAUGUUUAAUUUUAGUUUUAAAGUUUAUUUAAACACAAAAGGCAGAAAUCUGGGCCCUCAAAAACCACCAAGCAAUCAACAAGUCACAUUUUACAAACUUCACGUUCCACAUUCUCUCUUACCUGUUUUCCUCCAUUUCUCCAAGCUUUGUGUUUGGUGAUCGAGUCUCUGUGAACAGUUGAUAAUGGAUGAAACUCAAGGUGCUACCAUACUAUCAAGAGCAUGACUCAUCUUCUCAGUUUCUUAGUUUCUUCUGGAAUCAUCUGUUGUCUGCAGAAUAGCAGCCUGCGGUGCUGCCAUGCCUUCUGGGGAUUCUGGCUCUUGUUGGAUAUUGAUCACGUGAUUCUGUACUUGCAAGUUAUGGAGCUCAGCUUCCAAGAAAACUUCACUCCUUGGAAAUAAAUCAAGAGAUUCUGAUUGCUUAUGCUUCUAGCUACCCUUUAAAGACACUGGCCAUUAUAAUAUCCUAAUAAACUACUUCAUAGUUUCCAA